AUAUGUUUAUUGAAAUAAAAUUUAGCAAUGACAAUAAUGUUUUUGUCUGUUUUGCUGCAGAUUGACAAACUCCCCAUAUUAGAAAGAGUCAGCUGUUGGAUCUUGGGCUCAAGUGUUUGUGGCUAGAACAGAAUGUUUGGGGUUUGUUUGACAUCCCUAUCAGCAGUGUCGUCCAUCAGCAGUGACUUAACCCCCACUUUGUCCCAUGAGCCGAGUUCAGGUCGGAUUUCGGUGUUGAAGAAGGUAGUUCCGUAAAGAGUUUGGCUUCUCAAAACAAUAUGGAUUCUUGCGUCGCAGUCGUCAUCCCAACACCUUGGUGCAGCAGUACAAGGACAAGACUGAAGCCACUGCACUGAUAAUUGGGAACUUUUGGCAAGUGGAAAACAGCAUGAAUGUUUUGAUGGUGGAAUGAUUUGAAUGGGUUAAGAAAUGUAGGAGAAUGGCAUUCAUUUCUACCAGCCAUUCAGUUCAUUUUCAAUGGGAAUGCUGUCGUGGAAAAAUGUGGAAUUAUGGAAACGUGGGAAGAUAGAAACAUUGUGUCCUGAAUGAGCUGAUCAUUUUGUCCAUAAAAUGGUUGGAAUCCCAUGAAUGAAUUGUGUGUUAAAAAUGGGGCGGAAUAAAAACAAUAAGUAGAAGAAUUUAAUAAUAACAUGUAGUCAGGUGGCCUCGUGGUUAGCAUGUGGGCCACACAGCCAGAAGAUCUGGGUUCAAAUCUCUCUUGGACAUCUCUGUGUGGAGUUUGCAUGCUCUCCCCGUGGUUUUCUCCGGGUACUCCGGCUUCCUCCCACAUUCCAAAAAUGUGCAUGUUAGGUUCAUUGGCAACUCUAAAUUGUCUGAUUGUGUGAAUGUGAGUGGCUGUUUGUCUAUAUGUGGCUGGCGACCAGUCCAAAGUGUACCCCUCCUCCUGCCCAAAGUCAGCUGGGAUAGCCUCCAGCAUACCCCCGCAACCCUAAUGAGGAUGGACAUAGUUUUACAUGCCAAUAUUUUUGGCCAUGGCUGUAUAAAUUAGGCUUAUUUGGUUGUAUUCCAUCCAGGCAUGGCCAA